UAUAUAUAUAUAUAUAAAUUGUCAAUGAUUCAUACGAAACGAAAAUAAAAAAUAAUUACGGUAUGAAAUUGAAAUGUCUCGAUUAUUCCCGGGGUUUCUUCGACUUUUCCGAGGUUUCCUCGGGAGCCGUGGCAACCAUAAAAUAUUCCGAAAUAAUAACGGAUAUUAAAAUUAAUUUUUCACGUAAUAACGUGCAUCCAUGCGCGAUUGAGCAUCGGAAAGAUGAUUUUGAUACAAUGUACGAUUCGUUAAAAUGAUCCGUAUUGUAGCGUUAUGAAAAUCUUACCAAGUCAAUACGCCACACGCCGAAAACUGCAGUGC